UUAUAAUCGCGGCGUUCUGGUGCCCGCGCAUGCCAUCUGCAUGCGCAGUUAAACGGGAAACACGAGGCAAAGGCGCUGCGCGCCGGCGCCGAGGUGUGCUGCCCCCGCAACGGUCAACAAGCACCGCCCGCGCCUGACAGAACUCCGAUUGCUGCGUUGCAUUCGUCUCGCCGUACUCGCGUACCGUCUUCGACGAUGCGCCUUGCUCUCGGGCCCCUGUCAGGCGCGGUCGAUAGGCUGCUCCGAUUACCACUGUGCAUGAAGCAUAGGAAGGUGGGGCGGUCAGUCUUGCAAGCCCGGAUACCGGCCAGACAGGUGGAAGCGCG
rnacentral:ncRNA from 2 species